CGCCGGGUUCAACUUCCACUGGUGAUGGCGAUUCCUUCUUGAAAAACAGUAUAUUCAGUUGAAUCUUCAUAUUAUAAUAAUAAGAUCGAAUCAAUUCCUAUUCGAAAAGAGGAUUUCAUCAUACCUGGCUUUCCUAACCUUACAACUGGCACUGAGACUUUACUUUAUCAAGCUGGAAAUAGGGAACUCCUUUUUGGAACUGCCUUUGAUCUUAGGCUCGCAGCUACUAGGUGCGUACCCUUGAACCUAGCGUUCUAAGGAAUAAAGAAUAAUCGGAUCAUGAAAUUCGAUCUCUCAGCGCUGGGAUGCCCGCUCCCGCUGCUCUUCGAUCUUCAGAGAAGGAAGACCGAGUCAAAGUCAAGAAAGGGGCUGAGAGAGACUAUUUCCGAACUUUCUAUUACAUAAAUUCCCCAGGGACCCCCCUCCUAAUAAAGCUAAUAGGGCCAGAGCUCUUCCUACAAGUCCGGUACUAGGCUAAAUCAACCCCGUCUGUCGCUAUCGGUGUCGAUUCCCUCCUUGGACUAGGCUAUUCCAUAGGGAUUAG
rnacentral:lncRNA from 1 species